rnacentral:lncRNA from 1 species
GUGUAUGAUGAUGAUGGUGAUAACAGUGGUGAAAGUCAAAUUCUACUUUUGCUCUUUGAGGGGAUACAUACCUUCCUUGCUCUUUGAAACUUUGUGAGGAGAAUGAGAUGCUCUAUAUUUUUUUCUUCUUUCCUCUCAGGUGGGUAUCUUGUACCCCUAAUUCUACUGUCGGACACUUGUCCAUUUUUACCUCUCGUUUCACUUUUUUAUUUUCUUUCAAGGUUCCGCGCACUUGCCCCUUUCUAUUUCCUUGUAUCUUUUUUUUAGAGCACUCACCUCAUGAAAUAAUAUAACAAGUUGUAGUAACCAAGAUAAGUUGAGCAUUUAUUUCACAGGGGACAAAUAGAAAUGUUUUUGGCUAUUCUCUCCCGGAUUAGGAGUAGAAUAUUUUUAGGUGGUUCUGGAGAUGGAAAUGAUUGGAUAUAUGUGGAUGUGUACUUCCGGAGUAGAAGCAACAUGUUUGAGUGAACGUGCAAGUGAAUCUUGAUUUAACCACAUGACAAGCUCCUAAGGGUCUACACAACUUGACCACACUCAAUGCUCAUAAGUAGUAAAAAGUAA